UACGAAGGGGCUAGCGUUGCUCGGAAUCACUGGGCGUAAAGGGUGUGUAGGCGGUCUUCUAAGUUUGGUGUGAAAUCUCCCGGCUACAACGUGGGAGGGUGCGGCCGAAAACUGGGAGGCGUAGAGUGCGGGAUGGGAGAGGUGGAAUUCCUGGUGUAGCGGUGAAAUGACGUGAGAUAUCAGGAGGAACACCUGUGGUGUAGACGGCUCUCUGGACCGCAACUGACGCUGAGACACGAAAGCGUGGGUAGCAAACAGG
rnacentral:rRNA from 1 species